AUGUCCCUUUCUUCUUGCUAUAUCUUUAAAGUAAAUGUUCCUUUGGAAAGAAAGAGAGAAAGAGAGAAAGAGAGAAAGAGAGAAAGAGAGAAAGAGAGAAAGAGAGAAAGAAAGAAAGAAAGAAAGAAAGAAAGAAAGAAAGAAAGAAAGAAAGAAAGAAAGAAAGAAAGAAAGAAAGAAAGAAAGAAAGAAAGAAAGAAAGAAAGAAAGAAAGAAAGAAAGAAAGAAAGAAAGAAAGAAAGAAAGAAAGAAAGAAAGAAGAAAAAGAGAGAAGACGGGAAGAAGAAACAGGUCAACUUUUCUUCAAAAGGGCUAGGAAACAUUUAAGAUUAUUCAAGAAUGGAGAUUUUCCUCUCAUGAAAGGACCUGAACACCUGGAGAGGGCAGUGAAGAGCUA
rnacentral:lncRNA from 1 species